UACGAAGGGGGCUAGCGUUGCUCGGAAUCACUGGGCGUAAAGGGUGCGUAGGCGGGUCUUUAAGUCAGAGGUGAAAUCCUGGAGCUCAACUCCAGAACUGCCUUUGAUACUGAGGAUCUUGAGUUUGGGAGAGGGACGCGGAAUUCCAGGUGUAGCGGUGAAAUGCGUAGAUAUCUGGAAGAACACCGGUGGCGCAAGCGGAUUGCUGGGCCAUAACUGACACUGAGGAACGAAAGCUAGGGUAGCGAAUGGG
rnacentral:rRNA from 1 species